CCUACGGGCGGCUGCAGUGGGGAAUAUUGCACAAUGGGCGCAAGCCUGAUGCAGCUAUGCCGCGUGUGUGAAGAAGGCCUUCGGGUUGUAAAGCACUUUCAGCGGGGAGGAAGGCGGUGAGGUUAAUAACCUCAUCGAUUGACGUUACCCGCAGAAGAAGCACCGGCUAACUCCGUGCCAGCAGCCGCGGUAAUACGGAGGGUGCAAGCGUUAAUCGGAAUUACUGGGCGUAAAGCGCACGCAGGCGGUCUGUCAAGUCGGAUGUGAAAUCCCCGGGCUCAACCUGGGAACUGCAUUCGAAACUGGCAGGCUAGAGUCGUGUAGAGGGGGGUAGAAUUCCAGGUGUAGCGGUGAAAUGCGUAGAGAUCUGGAGGAAUACCGGUGGCGAAGGCGGCCCCCUGGACAAAGACUGACGCUCAGGUGCGAAAGCGUGGGGAGCAAACAGGAUUAGAUACCCUUGUAGUC
rnacentral:rRNA from 1 species